UAAUGCUUCGAAGGCCAAGGGCUAGCUAUAAGCUUCAAGUUCAUGAAAUUCAGGCAAUUAACUGCAUUCAACUAAUUUUUUAACUGAAACUAUAGGAGAACAGACAAAUUAUGGAACUGUCAGGAGAUAGUUAACGGUACAAAUUUUUAUUGAUAUAUGGCCAAAAUCAAAGAAGGGUGUUGGUAACCAACAAGUCAGAGGAGACCUCAAAACAGGAGCUGCUUAGGGUGGUGUGCACAACAUUUGGAGUGAAAGAAGAAGAUAUUUUUGUUGUAGACAUGGCAAGACAAAUUCUACGAUUUUGCAGACAUGGAAGAGGACGAACUUGUGACAGGGCCAUUGAGAGUAAAAAUUACAAACUACCUGUGGUCCUCGGUGCACAGCAACUGGUGAAUGGUGGAGAGCACAUAGAGUGGAUGAGCACUGAAAAAAGGGCAGCCAGACUUCAAGAGAGUUGAGUUCUGCAUGCAGAAGACACUGGCAGACAGAAGGGCAUGGAUCAUAAAUUCUGUCCCUCGGCCAAGGAUCACUGAUGACCGACUGAAGUAUCCUUGGCUCUUUGAUGAGGAUCAGGUAAUCUAUGCAGAGUUUUCUCACCAGAUUUUGAAAUAUACUGAAUAUCCCGAGAUCGAUUGAAUGCUGACGGACGUUGAUAGAGUUGCUUACUCAAUGUUUCCCUAUUACAGUGAUUUACAGAAUGUAUUGGAAACUUCUAACUACACAUGGAUUAUCCAAACUUGCUCAUAAACUUAAUUUAUUCAAGACUGCGUAAGGUGUGAACUUCAUAUGUGGUCCUUGUAUGUAAAAUUCAGGUUAUUUUCUUGUCAAAGCAAUAUCACCUAAACAGCUUGAGGUAUGGAUGUAAAAACUUGGUGUUUAACAUGUACCAUCAUUAGGAAGACGAUUUGAAUGGAUUUUGGAAUAUGUAGGUCAAAGGUCAAUUUGUGAAAUUUAUUUGUUUAAACACAUUGUCACCUUAACAAUUUGAAAUAUAAAUGUGAAACUUGGUGCUAACAUGUACCACUAUAGGAGAUGAUCUGGAUAUAUUUUGGAAUAUGUAGCUCGAAAGUAAAUUUGUGAAAUUCAGGUAAUAUCUUUGUUAAUGCAAUGUCACCUUAACAGUAUGAAAUAUGGAUGUAAAACCUGCUAGCAUGUAUCACUGGGAAGAGGAUGCAUUGAGUAGUGUAUGUUUCAUUGACUGUUUUUUGAAAAUUUGACUCAAUGUCUCUAAUCUUCAAAUUAAAGGUCUAGUCCACCCCAGGAAAAUGCUGAUUUGAAUAAAUAGAGAAAAAUCAAACUAGCAUGAAAUUUUAAAGUUUCGCUUAUUUUCAACAAAACAGUGAUAUGCACAACUAGGUGAGCCAAUGAUGUCACUCACUAUUUCUUUUGUUUUUUAUUGUUUGAAUUAUACAAUAUUUCAAUUUUUACGAAUUUGAUGAUUAGGACCUCCUUGCCUGAAGCACAAAAUGUUAAAAUAAUUGAAUUCCACGUGUUCAGGGACGAAUGAAACUUCAUUUCACAUGACAAUGACGUGAAAAUCAAAAUAUUUCAUACUUCAUAUAAUAAAAUACAAAAGAAAUAGUGGGUGAGUGAUGUCAUCAGUUCCCUCAUUUGCAUACCGACUGAGGUGUGCAUAUAAGCGUUUUGUGAAAUGAAGCAAAACUUUAAAAUGUCAUAACUUUCUUAUUUUACAUCCGAUUUUGAUGAAAUUUUCAGUGUUAUGCUUGUUGAAUUUUUCUCUUUUUAUUCAAAUCAAGGUUUUUUUUUUUUGUUUUUUUUUGGGGGGUGGACUUGUCCUUUAAUCUUGCCAUAUCUGUGCUACCUCUGUGUGUGAAAAGUACAUUAAUUUAUUUAGUUUAUUCAGGGAUUUUUUUUUUGUAUAUACAUAUAGUCUUUCUACCUUGUCUUCUCAGUCAAACCAAAUCUUAUAAGAUCAACAGCAAAAAAAAAACAGUUUUCAGGAGUAUAUGACAUCAUUCUGCAUUCCAUACUUAAUUAAGCUUGACAUAUCUGUGCUAACUCAUAAUUUAUUUAGAAUAUUUAUGAUUUUUUAUGCCUCCGCCAACGAAGUGGCCGGAGGCAUUACGUUUUCGGGUCGUCCGUACGUCCGUCCCGUUUUGUUUUGUCGAAAUCUCAAGAACCGUGGAGUGGUUUUACAUCAAACUUGGUAUGAGGGUAUAUCCUGGGGGGGUAAUACUUUGUUUUGAUUUUAUGGUCACGGGUGAAAGGUCACAGAGGUCGUUAUAUACCUUAAAAUGUCCUGUUCUUGUGAUAACUUAACCAUUGGAGCUAAUAACUUCAAACUUGGUACAUUCUUUAUAUACAUAAUAGAGGGAGAAUGAUCUGAUUGGAUUUUGUGGUCACAUGGUCAAAGGUCACAGAGGUCAGUAUGCCUUAAUAUAUCUUGUUCUUGUGUAACUAAAGGAAUGUUAGAGGAAGUAACUCCAAACUUGGUACAUAUAUGCUUGAUAUAGGGGGGGGGGGUAAUUUGGGGGGGGGGUUGCAGGGCCAAGUUCAAAGGUCAUAAAGGUCAUAUACUUACAACUUUUUUAUCCAUUUAGUAAUUUUCUUGUGUUUUAUGAAUACUAAAAAUUAUUUUCAUAUAUCAAGUUUGAUUGUAGGUCAGUGUAUGCAUGAAAUUGUUCUUGUGAUAAACCAAAGACUUCGAUAGAUCAAUUUCAAAUAUGGACAAUGCAACCAUUAUGACAUUGACUUGAGAAGUUCAAAGGUCUAAGAGUUCAUGUCUCUUGUCACAAUUGCUUGUAGAUUCAAUAUUAAUGGUUCUUGGAUGCAUAUAUGAGAGUGAUCAAUAUGAUAAUAGAAAAUAUCAAUCAAGGUUUUCCGUUGGGUAGAUUUAAUUUUAUUGAAUAAUUUUUGCCUUAUCCAAAUAUAAGUGAACACCAAAUGUUCAGGCCAGCUAUGGUAGGAAUCGAACUCACGAUCUCCUGGUUACUAGACAGGCGUCAUACAACUAGACCACCAGGAAUUAAGCCCGAUGGCUAUUGGCUGUUAUUAUGUGAUAUAUCAACACAGUACUGUACCUGCUGCUAUUAUGUGAAUCAAACCAGUUACCAGCCAUCGGGCUUCUCGGUGGUCAAGUGGUAUGACGCCUGUCUGAUAACCAGAAGGUCGUGGGUUCGAUUCCUACCCGAGCCGGCCUGUAAAAAUUUUUCUUAGCAGCUCAAACAUGCACUGAACAUUCAGUGUUUAUUUAUGUUGGGAUAAGGCAUAAAUUAUUUAAUAUAAAAAGAAUAGAACAAAUUUGAAGAUUUAUGGGAAAUUACCUGUGCAACAUAUUUCUGAUCUAGUGGCAAUGGCGGAGGCAUAAAUUUCGACUGUGUGCAGUCGAGAAUCCAUCUAGUUAUUUUCUUUUGUUUUUUGUAUAAAGUCUUUCUAACAUGUCUUCUUGGCCAAAUCAGUUAUAUGAAAUCAGCAGUAAUAAAACAGUUUUCAGGAGUACAUGUAUACAUUCCUUACUUAGUUUAGCUUGCCAUAUCUGUGCUAACUGUUUGUGUGAAAAGUACAAAAUUUAUAAAGAAUGUAUUAAAAUUUAUGUGGGUUCUUUUAUAGAUAUGUAUUCAAACCUGCCAUGUAUAAAGACUUGCCUCUUUUGUCAGCUAACUUGGGUAAUGUUUCCAGAGCUGUACAUGUAGUACUUUAUUAGAUGUGUUUGACUUUAUUUUUAUUAAAAGUUUUCAUUGCGUUGUUCUUAACACUGAUUUGCAUUUUGUCCCUUUUUAGGUCAUUGUGUGAUCACUCACUGAUUGAUACAAUAAGUGGCGAUGUGUAGUGUGGAAUAUGACCUCUGUCAUAUUAUCUGUCUGACUGACCUACAAUUUUAAAUGUAAUUUCUUAUUAUACCAUCACCAAUGUGGCUCUUUGAUGAUGUAGCCGAAUGUGUACAUUGUAACUGUAUUUUAAUUGACUCUUUUCUUUCGCUGAUACACUAGAAACUCAAUAUACAGAGAUUCCCAAUAUAACAGUCAAA